rnacentral:rRNA from 1 species
GACGAACGCUGGCGGCGGGCUUAACACAUGCAAGUCGAACGGUGAAAGAGGGAGCGUGCGCCCUCCGGAGCAGUGGCGAACGGGUGAGUAACAAGUGAACAAGCAGCCCCGAACUCUGGGAGAAGCGUGGGAAACGACGUCUAAUACCGGAUACGACGCGGUAGGGCAUCCACUCCGCGAGGAAAGAACUUCGGUUCUGGAUUAGCUCCCGGCCUAUCAGCUCGUUGGGGGGGUAACGGCUCACCAAGACGACGACGGGUCGCCGGCCUGAGAGGGUGACCGGCCUCACUGGGCCUGAGGCACGGCCCAGUCUCCUACGGGAGGCAGCAGUGGGGAGUAUUGCCCAGUGGGCGCGCGCCUGUUGCAGCGACGCCGCGUGUGGGACGCCGUCCUUCUGGUUGUAAACCUCUUUUGGCUGGGACGCAGCGGUAGUGACGGUACCUGCAGAAUAAGCACCGGCUAACUACGUG